rnacentral:rRNA from 1 species
UACUUUACCAAUCGCUACCGUACGACCUUCAUCACGUAAAACAAAACGACCCAUCUGCGGAAAUUUGUUAAAUGGCUCUAAACAAAAUAAUUCGCUCGAUUCCAAACGCAUGAUACAAACUUGAUCUUGUUUAACAAAUUUCGGCCUUGUCGUAGAUUUUUCUCCAGUUUUACGAUCAAUCAAACAAAUUAAAUUUUUCACUGAUACUUCCUCCACAGCAGCAUGAACAUGAAGCACUGCGCUAUAACCUGGACAAAUAAUCGACUUAUGUUCCAUAAUUACUACUUGCGCAUCAAAUAUACGACCAACAACGCAAGUAUCGUCCGGUGAACAUAACACGAAACCAGAAGAAACUGCGUCUUCUUCAAUACCCUUCAACUUUAUCUUGACAUUUUCCCCAGGAGUAAUUUCUUCCGCCUCAUCAUCAUCAGACCACAACUGCAACACUUGAACAGGAGUUCGAUUCGGCAUAACAACUAAUGACUGGCCUUUUACAACCGAUCCAGAUUCUACUUUUCCCAUGACAACUGUACCCAUAUCGUUGUAUUUGUCAAACAAUACCACUCUAACAGCACCUUCUCGAGCUCGACUGAUAGGCGGAAGUUGGUCCAAAUAUUCCAAAAAAGUAGGCCCACUAUACCACGGGCAUACAUCAUCUGAUACUGGAUCUUUAAGCAAUGCUCCAGUCUGGCCACUGCAAGGCAUAAAAUAUAGAUCUUUUCCCGGCACAAAACCAACCUUUUUUAAAACAGGAAUAAUUUUGUCACGACAUUCAUUAUAUCUUUUCAGAUCCCAAUUCACAGUAGGAUCGUCCAUCUUGUUGAUUAAAACAAUCAUAUGACGCACGCCAGCAGUUUUGACCAACACAGCAUGUUCUCUUGUUUGUCCACCUCGUUCCAAGCCUGCUUCAAAUUCUCCUUUCCGUGCUGAUAUAACCAAAACUGCUAAAUCAGCUUGACUAGCACCACCGAUCAUGUUAGGCACAAAACUUUUGUGUCCUGGAGCAUCCAAGAUUGUUAUGUGUUUCUUUGCAGUUUCAAAAUUUGCUCUUCCUACUUGAACAGUUUUCCCCUUUUCACGUUCUUCUAUAUUUGUAUCGAGAGCCCACGAUAAAUACCAACUUUCUCGAUUCAUCUCCUUUGCUUCACGUUCGUAUUUUUCCAAAGUACGUUUAUCGACCUGACCUGUCAGGUACAUCAAAUGUCCACCAAUGGUAGACUUGCCAGCGUCGACGUGACCUAUAAAAAUCACAUUCACGUAUUCUUUGCGCACCUUCGGAAUCAAAGCAGUAUUCUUCUUUUUAAUAGAUUUCGAUGGAGCAACAACAUCCUCUUCUUUUAAUGCUUCAUCAUCCACUUCCCAUUCGUCAGGAAUUCUUUCGUCACUUAAAUCUAAACUUUUUAAUACGUUAACAUUAGUAUCCAUCGAAACUUCAGCAGAUAAUUCAUCAGUUGCUUCAAGAUCGUUCGCCGUUUCAUCAUUAGCUUCACGAGCAGCAACAGAAAAACUUGGGAUAAAAUCAGGAGCGUCUGGAUUAAACUGAAAUUUAUCGGCCAUGAAUAAUACCAGUUGCAAACUUGACCUCGGUUAGUGGAAAUCCGAGCGACGCCUGGUAAAUCUCGUACUUGGUCGUACUGAUAUCCGCAGCAGGUCUCCAAGGUGAAUAGCCUCUGGCCGAUAGAAUAAUGUAGGUAAGGGAAGUCGGCAAAACGGAUCCGUAACUUCGGAACAAGGAUUGGCUCUAAGGGCUGGGCCGAUCGGGCUGAGGUUUCAAGCGUGCAGUGUAUGCUUGGCUGAGUUGUGUUGAGGACUUGUUCACUUGCCGCCGUUUGUUCGGUUGGUCUAGUGUAUUCGAGUCUGAAGCAGAGCUGGCCGACAGACCGGCACGUGCAGAACCUGAGCUGCGCGGCUGUCCGUUUACGUGUACAGACCGUUUCGGUCGGCAUUCAACAGCCAACUUAGAACUGGCACGGACACAAGGAAUCUGACUGUAUAAUUAAAACAAAGCAUUGCGAUGGCCGAUGAUCGGUGAUGACGCAAUGUGAUUUCUGCCCAGUGCUCUGAAUGUCAAAGUGAAGAAAUUCAAUCAAGCGCGGGUAAACGGCGGGAGUAACUAUGACUCUCUUAAGGUAGCCAAAUGCCUCGUCAUCUAAUUAGUGACGCGUAUGAAUGGAUCAACAAGAUUCCUUCUGUCCCUAUCUACUAUCUAGCGAAACCACAGCCAAGGGAACGGGCUUGGCAAAAUCAGCGGGGAAAGAAGACCCUGUUGAGCUUGACUCUAGUCUGACUCUGUGAAGAGACAUGAAAGGUGUAGCAUAGGUGGGAGAUUGUCAAAUUGCCAUCGUUCGCGCGGUGGUCCGGUGAUCGCCAAUGAAAUACCACUACUUUGAUCGUUUCUUUACUUAUUCGGUAAAGCGAAAAAAUUGUGGCCAAUUUGGCGGUGUUUAUGUCGCUGUUGGUCAUUGUUUUCAUGUUAGAUUGAAGCUUUGUUUACAGCCGUCGCUUUGUGUCGCCAUUUGACGCAUUGUUGUACUGGGUUAUCCCGGUGUGUGGUGUAGUCAGUAUGGAUGAUCGGCGAUAGGUUUGAAGUGAUUCGCUCCGGAAACAGUGUCAGACGGGGAGUUUGACUGGGGCGGUACAUCUGUUAAACGAUAACGCAGGUGUCCUAAGGUAAGCUCAGCGAGGACAGAAACCUCGCUUAGAGUAAACGGGCACAAGCUUACUUGAUUUUGAUUUCCAGUACGAAUAGAAACCGCGAAAGCGUGGCCUAUCGAUCCUUUUGAUUGUGUAGAUUUCAUGCAAGAGGUGUCAGAAAAGUUACCACAGGGAUAACUGGCUUGUGGCAGCCAAGCGUCCAUAGCGACGUUGCUUUUUGAUCCUUCGAUGUCGGCUCUUCCUAUCAUUGCGAAGCAGAAUUCGCCAAGCGUUGGAUUGUUCACCCACCAAUAGGGAACGUGAGCUGGGUUUAGACCGUCGUGAGACAGGUUAGUUUUACCCUACUGAUGACAAGUCGUUGCGAUAGUAAUCCUGCUCAGUACGAGAGGAACCGCGGGAUCAGACAUUUGGUUCAUGCGCUCGGCUGAAAGGCCGGUGGCGCGAAGCUAGCAUCUGCAAGAUUAUGACUGAACGCCUCUAAGUCAGAAUCUUUUCUAGUCAUUGGCAACGAUAAGUUGCGUCCAGACUCGAUGCGAGGAAACGAUUAGGCUUUGCUAUACGGCGAAGCCAUUAUCAGACCACGGUAGCAGGCAGUAUGGGAUUGUUACGAAAAAGCAAUUUUUUGAAGUCAGUUGAAUUCAAUCAAACUGCUAACAAUUCCACUGCGAAUGACUCCAUUCGAAUCAAU